GACGAACGCUGGCGGCGUGCUUAACACAUGCAAGUCGAACGGAAAGGCCCUGCUUUUGUGGGGUGCUCGAGUGGCGAACGGGUGAGUAACACGUGAGUAACCUGCCCUUGACUUUGGGAUAACUUCAGGAAACUGGGGCUAAUACCGGAUAGGAGCUCCUGCUGCAUGGUGGGGGUUGGAAAGUUUCGGCGGGUGGGGAUGGACUCGCGGCUUAUCAGCUUGUUGGUGGGGUAGUGGCUUACCAAGGCUUUGACGGGUAGCCGGCCUGAGAGGGUGACCGGCCACAUUGGGACUGAGAUACGGCCCAGACUCCUACGGGAGGCAGCAGUGGGGAAUAUUGCACAAUGGGCGGAAGCCUGAUGCAGCAACGCCGCGUGCGGGAUGACGGCCUUCGGGUUGUAAACCGCUUUCGCCUGUGACGAAGCGUGAAUGACGGUAAUGGGUAAAGAAGCACCGGCUAACUACGUG
rnacentral:rRNA from 1 species